rnacentral:rRNA from 1 species
AUUGAACGCUGGCGGCAUGCCUUACACAUGCAAGUCGAACGGUAACAGGUCUUCGGAUGCUGACGAGUGGCGAACGGGUGAGUAAUGCAUCGGAACGUGCCCAGACGUGGGGGAUAACGAGGCGAAAGCUUUGCUAAUACCGCAUACGAUCUAAGGAUGAAAGCAGGGGACCGCAAGGCCUUGCGCGUUUGGAGCGGCCGAUGGCAGAUUAGGUAGUUGGUGGGAUAAAAGCUUACCAAGCCGACGAUCUGUAGCUGGUCUGAGAGGACGACCAGCCACACUGGGACUGAGACACGGCCCAGACUCCUACGGGAGGCAGCAGUGGGGAAUUUUGGACAAUGGGCGAAAGCCUGAUCCAGCAAUGCCGCGUGCAGGAUGAAGGCCUUCGGGUUGUAAACUGCUUUUGUACGGAACGAAAAGGCUCUGGCUAAUACCUGGGGCACAUGACGGUACCGUAAGAAUAAGCACCGGCUAACUACGUG